GAUGUUCUCCCAGAAAACAUGUUCCUUCCUCACCCCAGAUCUGGAGCCCCUCUGCUGGGAGGGGGGGCUGGGAGAGUUGGGGGGUUCAGCCUGGAGAAGAGAAGGCUCCGGGGAGACCUUGAAGCCCCUUCCAGUCCCUCAAGGGGCUCCAGGAGAGAUGAGGAGACUCUGGAUCAGGGAGGGGAGCCACAGGAGGAGGGGUACGGAACUGUGCACAGACCCCAGGACAGGACAGCGGGAAGGACAGCGGGACAACAGGCAGUGGUGCAGGCUUUGGAGCAGGCAGGACAGGAGGACAGCAGGCAGCAGAGCAGGUAGGACAGCAGGCAGGACAGAAGGACAGGACAGAAGGACAGCAGGCAGCAGUGCAGGCAGCAGAGCAGGCAGGACAGAAGGCAUUGGAGCAGGCAGGACAAAAGGGCAGAAGGACAGCAGACAGUGGAGCAGGCAGGACAGCAGGACAGCAGAGCAGCCAGGACAGAAGGACAGCAGACAGCAGAGCACGCAGGACAGAAGGACAGCAGGCAGGACAGAAGGACAGCAGGCAGCAGAGCAGGCAGGACAGCAGUGCGGGCAGGACAGGAGGACAGCAGGACAGCAGGCAGGACAGAAGGACAGCAGGCAGCAGUGCAGGCAGCAGAGCAGGCAGGACAGAAGGCAUUGGAGCAGGCAGGACAAAAGGGCAGAAGGACAGCAGACAGUGGAGCAGGCAGGACAGCAGGACAGCAGAGCAGCCAGGACAGAAGGACAGCAGACAGCAGAGCACGCAGGACAGAAGGACAGCAGGCAGGACAGAAGGACAGCAGGCAGCAGAGCAGGCAGGACAGCAGUGCGGGCAGGACAGGAGGACAGCAGGACAGCAGGCAGGAGUGCAGGCAGGACAGCAGGAGUUCAGGCAGGACAGAAGGACAGGAGGACAGCAGGCAGCAGAGCAGGCAGGACAGAAGGACAGGAGGACAGCAGGCAGGACAGGAGGACAGGAGGACAGCAGAGCAGGCAGGACAGAAGGACAGCAGGCAGUGGAGCAGGCAGGACAGAAGGACAGCAGGCAGGAGUGCAGGCGGGACAGAAGGACAGAAGGACAGCAGAGCAGGCAGGACAGAAGGACAGAAGGACAGCAGAGCAGGCAGGACAGCAGGACAGCAGGCAGGACAGAAGGACAGCAGGCAACAAUGCAGGCAGGACAGAAGGACAGCAGAGCAGAGCAGGCAGGACAGAAGGACAGCAGGCAGGACAGAAGGACAGCAGAGCAGAGCAGGCAGGACAGCAGAGCAGGCAGGACAGAAGGACAGCAGGCAGGAGUGCAGGCAGGACAGAAGGACAGCAGGUAGGACAGUGCAGACAGGACAGCAGAGCAGGCAGGACAGAAGGACAGCAGAGCAGGCAGCAGCACAC
rnacentral:lncRNA from 1 species